rnacentral:rRNA from 1 species
UAGGGAAUUUUCGUCAAUGGGCGCAAGCCUGAACGAGCAAUGCCGCGUGAGCGAAGAAGGUCUUCGGAUCGUAAAACUCUGUUGCGGGGGAAAAAGGAAGGAAAGAGGAAAUGCUUUUCUUUUGAUGGUACCCCGCCAGCAAGAUCCGCUACGUAACGUGCCAGCAGCCGCGGUAAUACGUAGGUGGCAAGCGUUAUCCGGAAUGAUUGGGCGUAAAGGGUGCGCAGGCUGCGCGUCAAGUCUGAAGUGAAAGGUACGGGCUUAACCGGUACAGGCUUUGGAAACUGGCACGCUAGAGGACAGGAGAGGGCGGUGGAACUCCAUGUGUAGCGGUAAAAUGCGUAGAUAUAUGGAAGAACACCAGUUGCGAAGGCGACCGCCUGGACUGUUGCUGACGCUCAGACACGAAAGCGUGGGGAGCAAAUAGGAUUAGAUACC